UACGGAAGGGGCAAGCGUUGUUCGGAAUCAUUGGGCGUAAAGGGUGCGUAGGUGGCGUCGUAAGUCGGGUGUGAAAUUUCGGAGCUUAACUCCGAAACUGCAUUCGAUACUGCGGUGCUUGAGGACUGGAGAGGAGACUGGAAUUUACGGUGUAGCAGUGAAAUGCGUAGAGAUCGUAAGGAAGACCAGUGGCGAAGGCGGGUCUCUGGACAGUUCCUGACACUGAGGCACGAAGGCCAGGGGGAGCAAACGGG
rnacentral:rRNA from 1 species